rnacentral:rRNA from 1 species
UACCAGCACCCCGAGUGGUCGGGACGUUUAUUGGGCCUAAAGCAUCCGUAGCUGGUUCUAUAAGUCUUCCGUUAAAUCCACCUGCUUAACAGAUGGGCUGCGGAAGAUACUAUAGAGCUAGGAGGCGGGAGAGGCAAGCGGUACUCGAUGGGUAGGGGUAAAAUCCGUUGAUCCAUUGAAGGCCACCAGUGGCGAAGGCGGCUUGCCAGAACGCGCUCGACGGUGAGGGAUGAAAGCUGGGGGAGCAAACGGG